rnacentral:rRNA from 1 species
UACAGAGGUCUCAAGCGUUGUUCGGAUUCAUUGGGCGUAAAGGGUGCGUAGGCGGCGUGGUAAGUCGGAUGUGAAAUCUCGGAGCUUAACUCCGAAACUGCAUUCGAUACUGCCGUGCUUGAGGACUGGAGAGGAGACUGGAAUUUACGGUGUAGCGGUGAAAUGCGUAGAUAUCGUAAGGAAGACCAGUGGCGAAGGCGGGUCUCUGGGCCGAUACUGACGCUGAGGAGCGAAAGCGUGGGGAGCAAACAGG